rnacentral:lncRNA from 1 species
UGUCCUGUUUGAUAUCUUUACUGAUGGGCUGGAUGUGGGGGCAUCAAGUGCACCCUGAGUAAAUUGGGGGCACCCUGAGUAAAUUUGGAGGUGAUGCUGAAUUGGAGGUGAUGCUGAAUUGGCUGGAAGUGUUGGAUCUGGAUGGGGAGGAGCUGGGAUCAGAGAGUGGUGGUGAAUGGAGUGAAAUCCAGCUGGUGGGGAUGCUGGGUCCUGUCCUGUUUGAUAUCUGUAUGGAUGGGCUGGAUGUGGGCACCCUGAGUAAAUUUGGAGGUGAUGCUGAAUUGGCUGGAAGUGUUGGAUCUGGAUGGGGAAGGAGCUGGGCUCAGAGAGUGGUGGUGAAUGGAGUUAAUGGAGUUAAAUCCAGCUGGUGGGGAUGCUGGGUCCUGUCCUGUUUGAUAUCUGUAUGGAUGAGCUGGAUGUGGGGGCACCUGAGUAACUUUGGAGGUGAUGGCAAAUUGGCUGAAAGUGUUGGAUCUGGCUGGGGAAGGAGCUGGGAUCAGAAAGGGGUGGUGAGUGGAGUUGAAGCCAGCUGAUGGGGAUGCUGGCACCUGUCCUGUUUGAUAUCUUUAUGGAUGGGCUGGAUGUGGGGGCACUGAGUAAAUUUGGAGGUGACACCGAAGGGUUGGAUCUGCCAUAUGGGAUCUGGAGAGCUGGGCUGAAGCCAAUGGGAUGAGGUUCACCCAGAACAAAUGCUGGGUCCUGCGUUCUGGCUGCAACCAGACCCCAGGUGAUGCUGGGUGGCUGGAGGGACCCACAGGGGUGCGUGGGGGACCCAUAGGGAUGCAUGGGGACCCAUAGAAUACGUGGGGAACCCACAGGGAUACAUAGGGGACCCACAGGGAUGCAUGGGGAACCCACAGGGAUGCAUGGGGGACCAUAGGGAUGCGUGGGGACCCACAGGGAUACACGAGGGACCACAGGGAUGCAUGGGGACCCCCCCCAAGGAUGCAUGGGGACCCACAGGGAUACGUGGGGGACUAUAGGGAUACAUAGGGAACCUAUAGGGAUACAUGGGGACCCAUAGAAUACGUGGGGAACCCCUAGGGAUGCAUGGGGGACCGUAGGGAUGCAUGGGGACCCACAGGGAUGCAUGGGGGAUCUAUAGGGAUACAUGGGGGACCAGAGGGAUACAGGGGGACACAUAGGGAUACAUGGGGGACUCAUGGGGGACCCCCCAAGGAUGCAUGGGGGACCCACAGGGAUGCAUGGGGACCUAUAGGGAUACAUGGGAGACCAUGGGGACCCCAUAGGGAAACAUGGGGAACCCAUAGGGACCCAUAGGGAUACAUGGGGGACCCAUAGAGAUACAUAGGGAACCUAUAGGGAUACAUGGGGGACCCAGAGGGGACCCACAGGGAUACAUGGGGGACCAUGGGGGACCAUAGGGAUGCAUGGGGGACCUAUAGGGAUACAUAGGGAACCUACAGGGAUACAUGGGGGACCCAGAGGGGACCCAUAGGGAUACAUGGGGGACCAUAGGGAUGCAUUGGGGACCCACAGGGAUACGCAGGGACCCACAGGGAUACAUGGGGG